AAAAGUGUCGCCCCUCCUUUCUCUCCUCUCUCCUCCACCUCCCUUUGUCAGAACCCUGGCGGGAAUCUCGUUUUUGCCACCUUCCUCUCAUCUGCUCCAUCUGACCUAUCUUCUAAAACCUUAGCACCAAAUGGUGCAAGGUCUGAUUUUGUCACCCUAGCCUCACAAAUUUCCUUUUCCCUUCAUCUCUCUCAUUGUCCUCUCUUGAACCCCCCCAACACCAAUUGGCGUUACUUCAACAUCCUUCGUGUCAUCAUGACUUUGAGAAUCAGAUUCUCUGUCACAAAUCCCUUGAUUCAACUUCAUGUGAUUUGUACAUGAGUUUGAAUUGACUCAUGAGAUUCGAGAGACUUCAAAUCUGAAGGAGUUUUUAUCCGCUGGACAAAGAUUGAAACCAACGGACAAGCCUUCGACCCCGAAGUCCUAGCUUCAACAACUCUUUCCCUUUUCAUGAAUGCCUCCAAAAGGUAAUGAUUUUCACCUUUUCCAUUUGAUCUUUACCAUGACUUCCAUCAUGAUUUCAUCAUCAUUUUUCUUCAAAUUCUGAAAUUUAAGUUUCAAAUCUGAAAAGGUCUUCAAUUUGGGCUAUAAAUAGCCGACUUCAAUACUCUUUUCACAACAUGAGAUACACUACUCAUUAUGUGAAAAAAAACUCUCUGAUAAUUCGAGUUUUUAGUGCUUUACUCAUUUUGUUUUCUCCUCUGUUUGAUUCGAUUGAGCAAGGGCGGAUUUAGGGGGCGGAAGGGUGUUCAUCCGAACAUCCUUCGUCGGAAAAAGUUACACUGUUUAUAUAGGGGUAAUUUUAUUUUUUUACGUAUAGAUAUAAUAUGUUGAACGCCCUUGACACAAGUCAAAAGCUUGGCUUAGUGGUCAAGGGUGUUCAGAUUUUGUAAAAGGUCGCAGUUUCAAUUCCCGUCAACUGAAAUCUAAUUCUUUUUACCUCAUACUUUUUUUUAAAAUUUUAAACUAAACGAAACGACGUCGUUUUCGUUUCGUCUCUUUUAAUAUGUUUUUCCCCAAAAACGUAACUGACUUUGAGUUAAAAUCCCUAAAUCUCUCUCUCACUUCAUUGCCUCAAUGGCUCCCUCCACUCUCUCUCUCUCUCUCUCUCUCUCUCUCUCUCUCUCUCUCUCUCUCUGUGUGUGUGUGUCUCUCUCUCUCUUUCUCCAAUCUCUCUACCUUGCUGCUGUUGCUUGCUAUUCUUCUGUCAUGGCAUUGUCAUCCCAGGUAAAUUCCUUGUUCUUUCUAAUUUUUCAGAAAUUUAUUAGUAUUUUAUUGGUUAUUCUUAAUUUAGAUUAAUGACUCUUGUUUGUUGUUUUUUGAUUCUUGAAUCCGUAGACUUUAAUAAUGUAAAUUAUUGAGUUUUCUACUGCAUUUGCUUUGAUAAAUUUAUGAAAAAUAAUUGCUAAUUUUUUUUAGAAUUGAGAUACUUUUGACUCGAUCUUUGGUGAUAAUUGCUCAUAUUUUAUCCCCUUCCGCUGCAUAAGUUACAAUGAUUAAUAUUGUGUAGGAAGGAAAAAAAUUCCAAUCUCUUACUAUCCAAAUAAAAUAAAAUAUAAUAUAAAUCGCUAGUACGUGUGCGUUUUCAACAUAUCGUUAGCGUGAGUUUCGACGAUAGUUUAGUUCCUAUUUAGAUUUUUUUUAUGCAUCCGUUUGACAUUACAUUUGGAUUCAAUAAAUUUCGAUGAACCCUUUCGAUGAAAUUUUUACUGUUCAAUUCUUUAUAAUAUUGAACACCCUUGUUCGGAAUUCUGGAUCCGCCACUACGAUUGAGUUUGAGUUUGGGAGUUUAAUUUUGGAGACGAAUCUUUGACGACUCGACCCGACGCCCCAGUCUGCUGCCCCGAAAGAGAAUUCCAUUUUGAAACUCAACGACGUCGCUGCUGCAUAGAGACUGCACAUCCUCAUUCUUCGGUUUUCAUAUCGUUUAGACAUAAACAUAGAAGAGAAAAUCUUCUGGGAACUGAGCAGAGACUCUUGAAACGGUCCUUUCUGCUUCACUUAUUUGCUAUAUGACUUACUAUUCUAAUUUUUAUUAUGUGAUUGACUGUUAGGAUCUAAUUCUAUUAUAAAUCACAGUCAAGUCUUUUAAUUAUGUAUUUUGUUUUAUAGUUACAUAUAGUUGAAACUCUUUAGAAUCAUGAAUGUGCAUCAAAUACUAGUUGUUGAGCCUGCUAAAGUAUUACAAAAGAAAUAUUAGUUUUUAAAAUUUAUUUCUUCAUUCUAUCGAUUUUAGAUUAAAAACUCCACCUUGGUGAUUUUUUUAAAAGGCUAUAAAGCUAGUAGUAUUUCUAACACACAGAAGUUGUCAUCUAUGUUUUCCUUUCAGUGUUGCAAACAUUUAAGUCGAGUUUGUUAUCUGUACUUCCUUUAGAAACAUUUUCUGAACUAACUUGCCUAAUGUUUCAACAUGAUCCACUUGUAGGUAGAAAGUAGUAUUUUCAAUGAUACAAGCAUCAAUUUUCUUAUAAGACAAAGAGAAUUCUCUUCAACAUAAUUUUUGGUGUGAACCUGAUUUUCUUUUAAAAAGGUUCUCCAUAUUUAUACUUAGUCCUAAUUAACUUUAAUCCGGUCGGUUAAUAAUUUUCUUUAAAUUAAUUGAGCCUUUAUUUUACUCAAACCCGGAAUAGUUAAAUUAUUAUAUUCUAGUUCAACCCGUUUAAAAUGGGGUACAACAAUGUAUCUUUGGUCACAAGUCUUUGAUCAAUCAAGUAUCAAGAAUUGAUAUAUUCCAUACAUUUAAUGUUUCUUUACAUGUACCUAACACUCGAGCGAUAUUGUUGUUUGAAGUUAAAUCGCAACACACAACCGAGUCAACACAUGAAGAAUGAGCAGAGUCGUCACCCCAAGUGGGGCCAGGUACGUUAAGGGACAUGAUGACAACGACAGGCUAUAGUUGACUUCUUGUAUGAAUAAUACAUACAACUUUAUUAAAUAAAGCAAUUCGUUACUCCCUCACUUUCUAAUUUUUGUAUCACUUUUUUAAAUAUUUCAAAACUUGACAACUUUUACUAUUACCUUAAAGUUUCGUCAUGCUUUUACAAUUCAUACAAUUCAAACAUCAAAACACUUUUAGCUUCACACAACUUUAGAAUGAUCAAACCUUUUAUUUAAUAAUCUCUUACGCAUUUCCCCUCUCACGACCCCAAUUUUCCUCUGUAGGAUGUCGUGAUGACACCUAAUUUCUAAGAUUAGGUAAGCCUAACAAUUUGCGGAAUAACUGAAUAUAAAACUGAACUCAAAUCUCAACACAUGAAAUAUGAAUAGAACCUGCGAUUCAAAUAAUUACAACUCCCAAAACCCGGUAGAAAUAAGUCACAAAUUUAUAAAAGAAAAUAUCAAGUGUCUCUAUACAUCAGAGUCUAAAGAAAAUAAGGAAAAGCAAUAUAGUAAGGAUGGGAGGGCUCCGAGGACUGUGGACGCUGGCAGAUAUACCUUGAAGUCUCCACGUACGGUCCAGCUCACUGGUAUCUGACCUGGUAGGAAGAACCUGGAUCUGCACAACAAGAUAUGCGGAAGUGUAGUAUGAGUACACCACAACGGUACCUAGUAAGUGUCAAGCCUAACCUCAGUAGAGUAGUGACGAGGUCAGAUCAUGGCCCUACUGGAAUAAAAGGUAAUGAGGCAUAGAAUAUAAUAAUACAAUGGAGUGACUGAGAAAUGAACAACGAGAAAUUUCAGAAAGGUAACAACACAGCAAAUAGAGAAAAAAACAGUGACGCUCCUGAGGUAUCGUCUCGUAGUCCCAAAUGUAAAUACACAAUAUGGGGAUCUCUCGAGGUACCGCCUUGUAGUCCUAAAAGUAAAUAUGCAAUGGGGGAUCUCCCAAGGUACCGCCUCGUAGUCCCAAAAGUAAAUAUGCAACAGGGGAUCUCCCGAGGUACCGCCUCGUAGUCCCAAAAGUAAAUACACAACUCAUAACCUAUGGUACAACGAACUUACAUCAAGGAAUCAUACAGUUAAAGACUGAAUACAAGAUCACGGAAGCAAGUAAUUCAACUAAGCAUGUUGCACAAAUUUAAAGUAAAGGUUAAGACACGUAGACAUGCGAUACUAGGCUAAACAUGACAGUUACACAUGCUAAGGCAACUAAGUUAUGGAAAUUAAAAGAAGACUACUCAGCAAGAACUGAAAUUUCCACAAUUAGCCGGUGUACACACUCGUCACCUUGCGUACACGACACUCACAUAUCACAAAUUGUUACAACAGUACCAAAUCCUAAGAGGAUUUUUCCCACACAAGGUUAGAUAAGUCACUUACCUCGAAUCUCGCUCAAUCUAUCGAUAAGGAUACUUUCCCUUUGCUUUUCCACUCCAAAUGGCCCAAAUCUAGCCAAAAUCAAUUACAUACCAUGAAUACAACUAUAAGAAACUAAUUUAAAUAAUAAAUCUACGACUUUAGCAAAGAAUCAAAAAUCGCCUCAAAAGGUCGACCUGGGCCCACGCCGCAGAAUCAGGUAAAAGUCACAAAAUACGAACACCCAUACCAAAAUUACUCAAAUUUGACACAAAAUUCUCGAUCAGAACCCCAAAAUUCGGCCUAAGGAUUUGUUUUCCACCCUUUUCACAGCCCAAAUCCUUAAUUAAUGGAAGAAUAAAUGAUAUCUUAGUGGAAAUUAAUAAAAAAAUAAGUCAAGAAUCCUUACCCAAAUGUUUCCUCUGAAAACCCCUCAAAUUUUUGCCUCAAUCCGAGCCCUAUAUCACAAAUUAUGAAGAAAAGGGCAAACCCUCUAUUUAAUAUAAUCCGCCUAGGCUUUUCGCAUCUGCGGCCAAUUCACCGCACCUGCAGAACCGCUUUUGCGGUAAAAACCUUUGCUUUCUUUUGUGCUUUUAAGCUAUUUUAUGGUAUAUCGAGAUAGUUGGUUCGGGUCCGGAGUGGUUUCUUUAGACACUUAGUCUCUAAAGUAGAAGCUUAAGUUGGAAAAGUCAAUCGGAUAUUGACUUAUGUGUAAACGAUCUUGGAUUUGAAUUUUGACGGUUCUGUUAGCUCCGUUAGAUGAUUUUGGACUUAGGAGUGCGUCUGAAAGUUGGAGUAGGUUUGUGGUGUCAUUUGAGACGUGUAUGUAAAAUUUGAGGUCAUUCGGACGUGGUUUGGUAGGUUUCGGCGUCGUUUGCAGAAUUUGGGAAGUUAGAAGUUCUUAGACUUGAAUCCGAGGGUAAUUUGGUGUUUUGAUGUUAUUUUGAGUGAUUUGAUGAUUUUUCAAAGUUUGUAUGUUGAUAUAUGACUUGUUGGUAUGUUUGGUUGAGGUCUUGAGAGGCUCGGGGUGAGUCCGGGUGGUUAACGGAUUGUUUGAAGUUGGAAAAAUGCAGUUGAAGCUGCUACUACUGGUAUUUCCGCACCUGCGAAGGGGGAGCCGUAGGUGCGAGGUCGUUGGUGCACUUGGUGAGCCGCAGAUGCGGACAUAGAGGACCUGGUCUGGAACCGCAGGUGCGUAAGAUUGGUCGCAUCUGCGAGCCCGUAGAUGCGAGGCUGAGGCGUAGAUGCAGAAGUGAGGAGGACUGGCAGUGGCCGCAAGUGCGAGGUCUUUUGCGCACCUACGAGGUUGCAGAAGCAGAUAUGGAACAUAGGUGCGAGAUAUGUGCGCAAAAAUGGCUCCGAAGGUGCGCAUUAUUUUAGCCACAGGUGCGAAAACCUGGGCAGAACCUAUAGAUAGAAGACUUCGCGAAUUUUUGUUCAUUCCCACCAUUUUCAAGUAGGAACUUGGAGUUUUGGAGUGAUGUUUGAAGGGGAUUCAAGGAUAUUCACUGAGGUAAGUUGCUUGAGCUCUAUUAUCAUUAGCUAUGGUGUUUUUUCGUUAAUGUUCCACCUAAUUAGUAGAAUUUUUGAAGUGAAAUAAGGGGUUAGGGCUUGGGAUUUUUGAGGAUUUGAGGGACCAAAUGAUGUCGGAUUUUGAUAAAUUUAGUAUGGGUAGACUCGUGAGUGAAUAGGCUUUCGGGUUUUAUGACUUUUGUCAGAUUUCGAGAUGUGGGCCCGGGGGGGGUGAGUGAAUUUCGGAAUUUGGCCUAUAAAUUGGUAUUUUCCUUGUGGGAUUUGUUCCUUUAGCUCAUAUUGAUCGUAUUUUAUUGCUUGUGGCUAGAUUCAGGUCAUUUGGAGGACGGUUCAAGAGGAAACGACAUUUCAGAGUAGGAGUUCUACGCGGUUGAAGUAACUAACAGUUUUAAAUCUGGUCUUGAGGGUAUGAAACCCAGAGUUUGGUAUAAUGUGAUUGUUUGGAGGUGGCACUCAUGCUAGGUGACGGGCGUGUGGGUGUACUCCAUGAGGGAUUGAGACUUGGUCCUUACCGGGAGACUAUGAAUUCUAAUAGCCUUUUUUUUGUGUUUAUAUGAAUUCCUGUCUACUAGAACUUGAUUGCCUUUCAUGUUAGAGAUCAUGCUUAGGCUAUAUUCCUGCUCAUGGUAGUUAUAUCCUAUCAUAGUGAUUCUUGUAGAUGUUUACCUCAGUCUCUGUUAUUUUUCCCUGAUGAUAUACUGUAACACUUUGAUUUGGGCUAUUUUCCCUUUCUUUAUUGAAAGCUAUGAGACUAGAGAGGUUCAUGACUGAGUAAGGCUGAAGGCCUGGUUGUGAUGUAUUGUUCUAUGGCACGGUUGUUGUCCGUGCAACACUUGAGUUGUCCAUGCAGAUCCUUAUAUUUAUACUAGGGCACGUGAGUUGUCCGUGCAGCACGUGAGUUGUCUGUGCGGAUCCAGAUAUUUAUACUAUAGCACGUGAGUUGUCCGUGCAGCACGUGAGUUGUCCGUGCAGAUUAUAGCGCUUAGGCUGCAGGAGCCUCUUAUGAGUCUGAACACCCCUAGUGAGCUCAAGUACCUAUUGAGCGUGCAUUGAGGGCUGGGAGUUGAGUGCCGAGUUGUUGAGGGUUUGAGUGACUGUUGCCCUGAGAGGUUGUACUUGCUUUUCAAUUGUUGAUGCACUUAGUUCUAUCUAUCAUUGUUGUGAAAUUUCUGAAAGUUUCUAUAUCCGGAGUACCUACACUUUAACUGUAUAAAACUGAUUUGACUUAAAUUGCGGAUUUGAAAAUAUGUCUAUUCUUUGCUGGAAUUAUUGAAAAUGAACUGUACUGUAUAGCUCGUCACUGCUUCUCAGUUCCUUAUUUAUUUCUGUUACUUACUGAGUUGGUUGUACUCAUGCUACACCCUACACUUCAUGUGUAUAUCCAGGUGGGUUUGAUUACGGAGGUCAUUGAGUUCGGGCGCGAUCGAGUACCGGAGACUACGAGGUAGCCGACGGUGUCCGCAGGACCUUGUCUCUCUUUCUAUAUUUCUUUCUGUCUUGUAUUGAUACUUAGACACUGGUUGUAUUAGUUUGGUUGUCUAGAUGCUCAUGACUUAGUGACACCCCGAUGUUUGGGGCUAGAUUCCACAUUUUGAUUCUAUAUUGAGUUCAACUUUGGUUUUUAUGAAAAAUUUCAGAUAUGAAAAAGUUUUAAACUACCGUUUCUAUUGAAUUACUGGAGUAUUUUGGGAACGUCGGCUUGCCUAGUACCAUCGAUAGGCUCCAUCACGACAUGUUAGGUUUUGGGUCGUGACAAGUUGGUAUCAGAGCUCUAGGUUACAUAGGUCUCACGAGUCAUGAGCAAGUUUAGUAGAGUCCGGCAGAUCGGUACAAAGACGUCUGUACUUAUCAUCGAGAGGCUGUAGAACCUUUAGAAAAAUUCCACAUUCUUGAAUUCUUAUCGUGCGAAUCUGUUGAUUCUGGUACAUAAACAUUUGUUGUUUCAUUCUCUCACACAUGGUGAGGAGUCGUACUACCGGGCAGGACAGACAGCCACCAGUACCACCAGCCAGGGCUGCGAGAGGCCGAAGCCGCGGUAGAGGUCGCGGUAGGGGCAGAGGUGCAACCCGCACAACAGCUGGGGCAGUACCUGUAGAUCCACCAGUUGUCACAUAUCAGGACCACAUUCCAGUUGUUGAUGCACCAGCUCAGGCACCACCUGUGCCUAUUAUGAUUACAACCUCUACGAGGCCCUAGCUUAGAUUCUGACAGCAUGUACCGGCCUUGCUCAGGCGGUCUCUAUCUCGACGGCCGCAACCACUUCUCAGGCCGGGGGAGGCACUCAGACUCCCGCCGCUCGCAUACCCGAGAAGAUUGUUCAGGUACUCCAGACACCUGAGGCACCACCAGCCCAGUCGGUUGUAGCUGCUCAAGAUAUGUGGUUCCUGCUAGGCCUGAGGCUGAUCAGCGUAGGUUGGAGAGGUUUGGGAGGCUCCAGCCUCCACCUUUCAGUGGCAUAGAGAGAGAGGAUGCCCAGGACUUCUUGUACAGGUGUGAUAGGAUACUCUGUACAACUGGUAUUCUGGAGACUUGUGGGGUCACAUUCACUACUUUUCAGUUUUCUGGGGCUGCACUCAGAUAGUGGGAGACUUACGAAAGGCGUAGGCCUGUUGGCGCAACACCCCUUACUUGGCAGCAGUUUUGCGUUGUCUUUUUGGAGAAGUUCGUGCCUCAGUCCCGCAGAGAGGAGAUGCACAGACAGUUUCAGCAGCUUCGCCAGGGUGAUAUGUCUGUGAUGCAGUAUGAGAUGUAAUUCUAGGAGUUGGACCGUCAUGCUAUCUAGUUGGUUCCCACAGACAGGGAGAGGAUGAUGAGGUUUAUAGAUGGUCUCACUUUUCAUCUACGGUUGCUUAUGACCAGAGAGAAGGUGUCUGGUGCUACCUUUGAUGAGGUUGUCAAUAUUGCUCAGCAGAUUGAGAUGGUUCACGGUUAGGAGAGGGUUGAGAGGGAGGCCAAGAGGCCUCGUGGUCAGGGUGGAUUCAGCGGUGCUCCUUCUGGGGGUCGGUUCCAGCACGGUAGAGGUUGUCAUUUCAGACACGCUCAGACAACUCGGCCAUUUCACCAUAGUUCAUCAUCUGGCCAUGGUUCUCAUAUUCAUCAGCAGGGCCAGUCAUCAUUCAGUGCACUACCAGCGCAGAGUUCUCAUCAUUCCCCGUCCGCUCAGAUAUCCCCGGGUAGUUCUUUUGGGCAUCAGGAGCAGCAAUUUCGUCAGAGGAGGGGUUGUUUCGAGUGCGGAGAUUUUGGUCACAUUAUGAGAGAUUUCCCUAGGCUAUUGGGUGGACUCCACAGCAGAGUACUCGGCCGAUGGCACCAGCACCAGUUCCUGCACCACCCGCCCAACCAUCCAGGGGUGGAGCUCAGCCAGCUAGGGGUGGAGCUUAGUCAGCUAGGGAUCGCCCGAGAGGGGGAGGCAGAUCGGGGGUGGUCAGGCUCGUUUCUAUGCCCUCCCUUCUAGAACAGAUGCUAUUGCUUCAGAUGUUUUGAUUAUAGGUAUUGUCUCAGUUUGUCACAGAGAUGCCUCUGUAUUAUUUGACCCUUGUUCCACGUAUUCAUAUGUUUUCUCGUAUUUCACCCAUUUUCUAGAUAUGCCCCAUGAGUCUUUAGUUUCAUCUGUUCAUGUAUCUACUCCUGUGGGCGAUACUAUUAUUGCGGACCACGUAUAUCAGUUAUGUGUAGUGAUUAUUGGGGGUUUGGAGAUCCAAGUGGACCUUUUGCUACUCAGUAUGGUUGACUUUGAUAUGAUAUUGGGUAUGGAUUGGUUAUCUCCAUGUCAUGCUAUUCUAGAUUGUCACGCUAAGACCGUGAUGUUGGCGAUGAUGGGAUUUCGGAGGGUUGAGUGGAGAGGUUCUAUAGACUAUUAGGCAACCCGAAGAGCUAGUAGAUGGAGAAAAAAGGAGCUAAGAACAAAAGAAUGUCUUGUUCGAGUUUUCAGAAUAAAGUGAUAGACAUAAAUGUUAGCGGAAAAUAAGAAGAGAGUUAAUGAAACAUUAUGAGUAAGAUAUUAUACAUGGAUGACAACGGUAGAUCAAAAGAUGACAGUAUUACAAAGUCUAUAGUCAAGUAAAGGAAAAGAUGAGAGGUGACAUGCCUUGAGACAACAAAAAAGUAUAGGCCAUAAAGUCAUAUCCUCAUUUCAAAAAAACAAAGUUUGACUCCAACGCGACUACCAGAAUGAAAUGUAAGACCCCAUAGUAAUAGAAAUCAGUAUGGACUGAUGAACAAGGUAAACUAAACAUGAACUGGGGACUGAGUAAUAGUCGGCAUCAUGAGAAUUUCAGAGAUUGCGUCCCGACGAUGAUAGAAUGGGCGAUAGAAGGAUUCCCUUUAAAGUCCAUUCAGGAAGAUGCUUCCCUAAAGCAAGCAAGGUGAGCAAAGUUAAGCUUAAGGGACUGUAUGUACCAGUUAUACUAAGUGUCACCCUCGCGAGUAGGGCAAUUUGUUAUCCUUGGUACAGAAAGAUUAACGCGAGGCGAGUAAGGAUCAUCGAUGAUGUGGAAAGACGCCAAAGAUGAAGAGGUAGACCAUCUAUAGGUAGAUCCUCGUGGCUUCGGCUCUUAGUACUCCCUUAAAGGGGGGAAUAUGGAGUGAUGUUGCAUUAAAUCGGAAUGAAGUGGUUCUAGUGAUUAUGGAAUGGUAAAGGAAGAAUGCGAUAAAAAAAAAGGGAUGAGAUGGCACUUAUCCAAAUCCUACAGAUAUGCUACGAUACCAGACUAUUGUGCAAGCACGGCGUCAAGGAGAGGAGUAAGGGUUCCUGCCAGAGCUGUUAUUAAUAAAUAAGGAGCCAGUGCGAGACGUAAGUUAAGGCAAAGAAAAUAUCCCAAGAAAGAUUACACGGAAUAUUGAGAUGUGAAUGGGCCAACGAGUAGUUAGUAAUUGAUCAGGAAGAGCCUAGUUAUGGCUAAACAGGAGAUUACAGACGAGUUAGCAGAUCGUGUAAGAUAAACAUAGUAAAACCCAAUAUAGUGAAUUCAGCCUCGCAGUUAUGACAUUGUGAUCAUUGGGAAAUAUUUAGAUAGGAGUUGGGGUAGUUAAAGGUACCAUAUGAGUGUUACGGAGAUAAAAGAAAGUGCCACCGGGAAGUCAGUCAAAAUAUCUAGUUAAAUAGCAACCCUACAAGCAAAAGGGGGUGGAAGUAAGUAACUAUGGAUAAUUAUAGGCAAGGAAGGACAUCAAAAAGGUCAGUCAAGUAUACAAUGUAAUAAGCUCACAGCUUUACAAGAGUCAGAGGAUCCUCCCUAAAUACUACAAUGAAAGACUAGUUGAGGAAGUAAGGAAGAAGGCUUCAACCUAAGCUAAGUAACGUAGGGAGGAAAUGGUUGUGUAACAAUAGUCUUACUACAAAAUUGUAUGCACUCCAAAAGAAAGCAGCACCUACCAUGGCUAAUGAGCGGGGAGUAAAACCAAAAGUACUAUUCGAGACCAUAUGAGUUGCACAAAAAACAAAUUAGCAUGCGUGAAAACUCAGAUAAGCUAAGUAUGCACGCAACAAGGGGCAAAAAGACCAGGAAAAGCAAUUGCUUACAUUUGAAGAAAGUUGAAAUGAAAAGAAAGAAAUUAUUCGAUUAAUAAUCAGCCGUAAAAGACUCUGGUAUGAGUUAAAAGAGUCCAGGUCAUAGACAAAGGACUGAAUCAUUAAAAGAUUGUAUCAUGGAUAUUCCAUAACGCCCAUGAAAGGCUAAAGUAAUAGCUAAUACCAGGACCCGCAGAUCGGAAGAUAGUUUAAGACUACAUAAAAGUUGAUUAGAAGAAAGAGGAAACUAAAGAGUUACAUCAACGAAAUAAAUCAAGAAUCUAAUUAUUGGACCAAGAAAAUUAUAGGAAUCGUGGUUGAGAACAUUGCAGGAUCACUCUUAAUAUCAAAGGUACAAGAGAGAAUAUAAAACAACCAUAUUCUGCAAUGGCCAUACGAUAAAGCCACUUGGAAAAGUACCAGCCUCAUAAGAAGUCUGUACGAAGCUCCCACCGGGUUGUGUAUGCACCAAAGGUGCAAGUAUUAUAAUAGAGCCUCAAGUUUUGGAUGUGAAUUACACUUAUGUGGAAGGGAGGUUAUGAAAAAGAUAGAAGAUAUGAGGCAAGAUUUUAAGGUAAGUAAAGUAAAGGUGGACAACGUACGAGAUGCUCAAAAGAAGAAGGUUGUGAAUAGUUCAUACUUCAGAUAAAAGGCUAGAAGUGUUGGGAUUCAGUAUUCUGGAGUGAUAGCAGCAUCGUCAGUAGCAUAUCCUCCAGCCUAUGGUUUCUAGGUAUCAAGAGGUCUAGUUAAGAGAGUAAAAAGAGAGUUUGAGACGAUGUGAUGUUUCGCUUGAAGUUUCAUAAUAACAUAAGGAAAUCUAUGGUGCAAGCAAGUUGAAGAAAAGUUGCGAGUAGUAUACAUGACUAUGUGUAGGUCACAAGCUAAAGUAUGGUAAAGUGAUAAGGUUUUAGGAAAACAUGAGUAAGGAUGAGAAUGGGCGAGUGAGAAGGUGAUGAUAAUGGAUAUGUCCUCAAGAUUAAGCCCGUGAAAACAAGAAAGCUGAUGGUUUCUCUAAGUUAUUGAAAGCUCAGUAUUGCUUGAAUGAACUCAAACGAGUUUAAGACUAGUAGCAUUUAAUGGACAUGGAAUACUACCCUGGUAGUAGAAUGAAGGUUUAAUUAUGAUAGAUGAAGGAUGACGUUUGGGCCUUCGAUUGAGUAAUGAUUUCAUGAAUUGUACAGGGUUAAAAUACCCACGUAAGGUAAAUCACA
rnacentral:lncRNA from 1 species